rnacentral:tRNA from 1 species
ACCUGGGUGGCUCAGUCAGUUGAGUGUCUGACUUCAGCUCAGGUCAUGAUCUCAUGGUUCGUAGGUUCAAGCCCCACAUCAGGCU